GACGAACGCUGGCGGUGUGCUUAACACGUGCAAGUCGAACGGUAAGGCCCUUUCGGGGGUACACGAGUGGCGAACGGGUGAGUAACACGUGAGUAACCUGCCCUCAUCUCUGGGAUAACAGUCGGAAACGGUUGCUAAUACUGGAUAUGAGCUUGCAAGGCAUCUUGUGGGUUGGAAAGAUUUUUUUUGGUUGGGGAUGGACUCGCGGCCUAUCAGCUUGUUGGUGAGGUAGUGGCUCACCAAGGCUUCGACGGGUAGCCGGCCUGAGAGGGCGAACGGCCACAUUGGGACUGAGAUACGGGCCAAACUCCUACGGGAGGCAGCAGUGGGGAAUAUUGCACAAUGGACGGAAGUCUGAUGCAGCAACGCCGCGUGCGGGAUGACGGCCUUCGGGUUGUAAACCGCUUUCAAUUGUGACGAAGCUUUUUUGUGACGGUAGCAGUAGAAGAAGCACCGGCUAACUACGUG
rnacentral:rRNA from 1 species